CCAUCGAUAGUAUAGUGGUGAAUAUCUUCGCCUGUCACGUGGAAGGCCCAGGUUCGAUUCCCGUUCGAGGAG
rfam:Schistosoma rodhaini strain Burundi genome assembly, scaffold: SROB_scaffold0000982